GGGGAAUAUUGCACAAUGAGCGAAAGCUUGAUGCAGCGACGCCGCGUGAGGGAUGACGGCCUUCGGGUUGUAAACCUCUUUCAGCUCUGACGAAGCUGCCUGGUUUUCUGGGUGGUGACGGUAGGGGUAGAAGAAGCGCCGGCCAACUACGUGCCAGCAGCCGCGGUAAGACGUAGGGCGCAAGCGUUGUCCGGAUUUAUUGGGCGUAAAGAGCUCGUAGGCGGCCUGUCGCGUCAACCGUGAAAGCCCGCGGCUUAACUGUGGGCGUGCGGUUGAUACGGGUGGGCUGGAGUUCGGUAGGGGAGACUGGAAUUCCUGGUGUAGCGGUGAAAUGCGCAGAUAUCAGGAGGAACACCGGUGGCGAAGGCGGGUCUCUGGGCCGAUACUGACGCUGAGGAGCGAAAGCGUGGGGAGCGAAC
rnacentral:rRNA from 1 species